UACGUAGGGUGCAAGCGUUGUCCGGAAUUAUUGGGCGUAAAGAGCUUGUAGGCGGUUUGUCGCGUCUGCCGUGAAAUUUCGAGGCUCAACCUCGAACUUGCGGUGGGUACGGGGCAGACUAGAGUGUGGUAGGGGGAGACUGGAAUUCCUGGUGUAGCGGUGAAAUGCGCAGAUAUCAGGAGGAACACCGAUGGCGAAGGCAGGUCUCUGGGCCACUACUGACGCUGAGAAGCGAAAGCAUGGGGAGCGAACAGG
rnacentral:rRNA from 1 species